UACGUAGGGUGCAAGCGUUGUCCGGAAUUAUUGGGCGUAAAGAGCUUGUAGGCGGUUUGUCGCGUCUGCUGUGAAAUUUCGGGGCUCAACCCCGAACUUGCAGUGGGUACGGGCAGACUAGAGUGCGGUAGGGGAGACUGGAAUUCCUGGUGUAGCGGUGAAAUGCGCAGAUAUCAGGAGGAACACCCGUGGCGAAGGCGGCUCUCUGGGACGGUACUGACGCUGAGACGCGAAAGCGUGGGGAGCGAACAGG
rnacentral:rRNA from 1 species